rnacentral:rRNA from 1 species
GGGGAAUAUUGGACAAUGGGCGAAAGCCUGAUCCAGCCAUGCCGCGUGAGUGAUGAAGGCCUUAGGGUUGUAAAGCUCUUUCAGUAGGGAAGAUAAUGACGGUACCUACAGAAGAAGCCCCGGCUAACUUCGUGCCAGCAGCCGCGGUAAUACGAAGGGGGCUAGCGUUGUUCGGAUUUACUGGGCGUAAAGCGCACGUAGGCGGAUCGUUAAGUCGGGGGUGAAAUCCUGGAGCUCAACUCCAGAACUGCCUUCGAUACUGGCGAUCUUGAGUCCGGAAGAGGUGAGUGGAACUCCUAGUGUAGAGGUGGAAUUCGUAGAUAUUAGGAAGAACACCAGUGGCGAAGGCGGCUCACUGGUCCGGUACUGACGCUGAGGCGCGAAAGCGUGGGGAGCAAAC